rnacentral:lncRNA from 1 species
AAACACCCGGAGCCGGGAUCCAGCUGCAGCGCCUCCACCAGACCCUCUAGUUCCCGUGGAUCCGGACCCGAACCGCCCGGACCCGAUCCAGUCUGACAGCUGCAGCCCUGAACCCUCCUAGAACCGAAUUAACCCGCGACUACCCCGACCACACUCCCCGAUCCUUCCUCGCCAUGGGAGACCCCUUCCACUGCUCCCUGCUGCGCACCCCUCGUGGCCGGUUCCGCGUCUCGCUGCCCCCGGGGGGUGAGUUCCUGCUGGGGACCCCGGAGCCCCUGAGUCGGCUGGGCGCCGCUGGGCAAAGCUUCUGCAUCCCUAUCAGUGAGAUGGUCAGGGUGCAGCUGGGCGGGUCUGGUUCGUCCCUCACAGUGGAGGGAAACCAAUUCACAGUUUUCUUUGUGCAGCGGGAGAAGCAUCAGCGCUGGAGCCUGGGCUCCCUGGAGUUCACUGUGACCCCUGGCUCGGGGCUGGCCCCACGCUGGGUCGAUGCCCUGCAGUGUAGCAUCCAGCUGCAUGGUCAGUACUGGGGGUAGGGGCGGUCAGUAGUGGGGAACAA